UAUAAGCCAAUGUAUAAUAAAUAUAUUUUAAAUAUAUUUUGUUUAUAAAUAUAAAUGUAAUAUGAUAAUUAUUAUAUAUCAAUAAUUAUUAUAUAUAAAUAAUAUAUAUAAUAUAUACAAUUUUUUGCUCUUUUCAACCAAAUAAUCGUAAAGAAAAACUAAUUUUAUAUUUUUAUUUAUAAAAAUUAUAUAUUUUUAUAUAGUAUUAUAUGCAGACUAUUACAUAUAUUAUAUUAAAUACUUAUCAAUUUAUCAUAUUAUAUAAUUUUGUUAAUUCAUAAAUAUAAAUUAUAAUAAUAAUAUAUAUAGUCUAAUAAUUAUUAUAAAAUAUAAAUAAAUAAUAUUAUAGAAUAUAUAAUAAAAAAAAUUUAUUUUUUCUUUUCAACCAUUUAACCAAAAAAAUGUAACUGAAAAUUAGUUUUCUUUUCCUACAAACCAAACACUAUAUUUCACGAAAAAAAAAUCCAAUUUUAUGUAGAACCAAACGGCCCUUAGGGUUUUGCAUUUUUUUUUUCUUCUGCCAACUAAAAGAACAUCACACCACCAAUUCCUCCUCCCACUUCACUUCAAAGUUUUCACUAUACCUCUCCUAUCUUCUCUCUCUCAAGCCUCAAAACCAAACCAUUCCUCUCCGACGGAGCUUUGGUGGCGAAACCCUCUUGACAUCUUCUGUCCUUGUCGACAAAUUUCUUUAUCCUUCUCUUUGUUUUUCUUCAUUUCCUCAUCUUUGUUUUUCUCCUUUGCGCUCUUAUUGUUUUUUCUUUGUUUUUUGCAAUAAUGUUAAUUAUCCUAGGUUUUCUAUAUUUUCUUCCACUUUGCACGCUUAUUGUUUUUUCUUUAUUUUUGCAACAAUGUUAAUCAUCUUAGUUUUUCUUCAUUUUCUUCUCCUUUGCGCGUUUAUUGUUUUUUCUUUGUUUU
rnacentral:lncRNA from 1 species